AAGGACCAAAUAUGUUAUCAAAACUUGUAUAAAUAGCCAACUUGCAACCCUUCACAAACACUCACAAAGAAUUUUGCAUAACAUUUUUAUCAACUCUUCCAAAUUUCUCCAAAUUUCUAGGGUUUCUUUUCUUCUUCGGAAUUUUCUGAUUUGGAAAGAUCGUUAAUUGUUGGAGAAAAUUCGGAUUUGGAACAAAACAUCAAUUUUUUAAAAAUAUUUGUGAAUGUUCUAAUGGAGUCGAAAGGUGGCAAAAAGAAGUCUAGUAGUAGUUCCUUAUUUUACGAAGCUCCCCUCGGCUACAGCAUUGAAGACGUUCGACCAAACGGUGGAGUCAAGAAG